rnacentral:rRNA from 1 species
UAGGGAAUCUUCGGCAAUGGACGAAAGUCUGACCGAGCAACGCCGCGUGAGUGAAGAAGGUUUUCGGAUCGUAAAACUCUGUUGUUAGAGAAGAACAAGGACGUUAGUAACUGAACGUCCCCUGACGGUAUCUAACCAGAAAGACACGGCUAACUACGUGCCAGCAGCCGCGGUAAUACGUAGGUGGCAAGCGUUGUCCGGAUUUAUUGGGCGUCAAGCGAGCGCAGGCGGUUUCUUAAGUCUGAUGUGAAAGCCCCCGGCUCAACCGGGGAGGGUCAUUGGAAACUGGGAGACUUGAGUGCAGAAGAGGAGAGUGGAAUUCCAUGUGUAGCGGUGAAAUGCGUAGAUAUAUGGAGGAACACCAGUGGCGAAGGCGGCUCUCUGGUCUGUAACUGACGCUGAGGCUCGAAAGCGUGGGGAGCAAACAGG